UACGUAGGGUGCAAGCGUUGUCCGGAAUUAUUGGGCGUAAAGAGCUCGUAGGUGGCCUGUCGCGUCGGCUGUGAAAACCCGCAGCUCAACUGUGGGCUUGCAGCUGAUACGGGCAGGCUUGAGUUCGGUAGGGGAGACUGGAAUUCCUGGUGUAGCGGUGAAAUGCGCAGAUAUCAGGAGGAACACCGGUGGCGAAGGCGGGUCUCUGGGCCGAUACUGACGCUGAGGAGCGAAAGCGUGGGGAGCGAACAGG
rnacentral:rRNA from 1 species